AUCAAGCCCAUAAUCUCGCCCCAUUUAUGCCCAAUUACUCUUGCCACAUCUACCCCCCCAAUUGCCCAGGUCAUCCUGACAUCCAUCCUUACAGCAUUCAAACCAAAAAUUGAAAAAUUAAAACCUCAGAAUCUCCAUUACACAUCAAGAAAUCCUCAAAUCGUAUCUCAAUCCAUGUUUAUGUAAUUUCUAUGUCCACAAAAUCGAUUUCGAGCGCUAAAAUCUCAGCAUAUUGCGAUUCCUGCGUUGUUAUUUCAACCAAGCGUGAACGAUUCAUCAGAUUGGUGUGAUGGUGGUGAGGUGGUUGGGUGUGGUGUGGUAAUGUGAAUCUUCCAGCCCUCAAGAAAUCAGAUGCAAUGCUAAUUGGCAUCUUGGAUGGGUUUCGUGGCAUUAAGUUUUACUAUUUGAGAGUGGGAUGAAUGUUGCUGACUCUCACGGAGGCGUUUCAUAUCUCUUGAAGAAAAAUGGUGGAUGCCUUUCCCAGAGGUCCCACCCAAUUGUUUGUCUGAAUUUUCACUUGCAAUCUUCAACUCGACAUGUCAGCAUGUACUCACGUUUGUCGGACCAUACUGGGAGCUAUUGUGUAUGGCAUAUAACGCGACUGUCUUCUUCAUUAACUUCUUGUCACUGAAGACCUGGUUCUCUGUAUCUAUGUAGUCGCCUGCCCUUGAAUCUCCAACAUGAAUUAUCACUUCACACAUUAUCUCACACGAUCCAUUCUACAUCAUGGAUGAUGUACACUUCACAGAGGAGAAUCUCGACCAAGUGGAAGAGAUGGUAAACUGUGCCCUCAAGCUAAAAAGAAAAAUGAUGGAAGAACAUGGUCAUUUCACAUGUUUAGAACAAGGAGGACUUGGGCUCAGACCAAGGUGUGCAAGGGAUGUUCCGACCUGAUGCGCGACCAAUCAACACUAAUCUGAAUUCUCCCACAAUGCCAUGAUGACGAAGGUGUAUUUGUGACAAAGUAUGUGGAGUUCAUUAUCAAUGAAAUGAUACAUGAUAUGUUAGAAAACGUGGUUCCAAUGAUCACAAGGGCAUACCUGGCUUGUCAACUAUAUAAAUAUGAAAUCCAAAAGAGCAACGGAUAUUAUGAAUCAGAUGUUGAUCUCGUCCCAAGGAGCAUUGGGAAAGCGAUGAAGGCUAGGAAUGUCGAUAAUAUCCAGAAGUCAAUCAAGGGGAAAAAAUUAGUCUAUUUUGUUGAUACCCAUCAAACAUUUGUUGACGUCUUUUUACUUUUUUAGCCAUGUUAGCAAAUUUGUGCCUGAUUUGAUGGUGUUUACUUGAACAACUUUAGUAAUCAUGCAACGUCUAUUAUAUGGCGGUUUUUUUUAAUUGAAAUUCAAUACAAUA